rnacentral:rRNA from 1 species
AUUGAACGCUGGCGGCAUGCCUUACACAUGCAAGUCGAACGGCAGCAUGAUCUAGCUUGCUAGAUUGAUGGCGAGUGGCGAACGGGUGAGUAAUACAUCGGAACGUGCCCUGUAGUGGGGGAUAACUAGGCGAAAGAUUAGCUAAUACCGCAUACGACCUGAGGGUGAAAGUGGGGGACCGCAAGGCCUCAUGCUAUAGGAGCGGCCGAUGUCUGAUUAGCUAGUUGGUGAGGUAAAGGCUCACCAAGGCGACGAUCAGUAGCUGGUCUGAGAGGACGAUCAGCCACACUGGGACUGAGACACGGCCCAGAAUCCUACGGGAGGCAGCAGUGAGGAAUUUUGGACAAUGGGGGCAACCCUGAUCCAGCAAUGCCGUGUGUGUGAAGAAGGCCUUCGGGUUGUAAAGCACUUUUGUCCGGAAAGAAAUCGCACUUACUAAUAUUAGGUGUGGAUGACGGUACCGGAAGAAUAAGGACCGGCUAACUACGUGCCAGCCGCCGCAGUAACAC